rnacentral:lncRNA from 1 species
CGCGUUGCUGUGGCUCUGGCAUAGGCCUGUGGCUACAGCUCCGAUUCGACCCCUAGCCUGGGAACCUCCAUAUGCCGUGAGAGCAGCCCAAGAAAUGGCAAAAAAAAAAAAAAGAAAAAAAAAAAAAAAAAAAAAAAAAAAAAGAAUUGUGCAUUAGUAGAAUGUAUAUCAGUUAAAAACAGCAUUUUCCCAGUUUUCUCAUGAUGCUUCCUCUUGUGAAGUAAAUGGCGGGACUACACUUCCUGUGUGCUAGCCACUGCUGGAAAAGACUAGUGUGUGGCCAUCAAGGACAUGGACUGUGAUGAAAAUCAUUAAUCUUUCUUUGCCUCAUUGUCCUUGAGUAGAGGAGGAUGAGUAGAUGAACUGAGUUAAUAUAUGCACAGCACUUGGACAAAGGUCCAGUAUGUAAAGAGAGUUUAAUAAUUAUUAGCUGAUUUCUUUUCAUUGAGUAACAUGUACUUUGGGGUGGACAUUUCGGUUGUUUGCUUUGGGGCAGGCAGAGGUGUGGAAAAACCCCAAAGACGUCAUGGAAGUGGAGGGUGAUAUGUCUAACCUUGGGCAUAUUUGCCCUCUGUGAGAGUCUCUCGUUGGAACUGCCCAGGCAUCAGGCAGAGAUACAAGGAAGUUACAGGGAAGUUGAGGUCACUUCUCAAAUUUUUACUAAUUUAGGAACUUUGAGAAUAUUGGAGAAUAUAGGCUUAAAUGAUGUAGGAUCUUUUUACAUCACAAAUUGACUCAGCUCAGGCUGUUUGCUGUAACCUAUAAGGCUUGGUGUGACCUGGUGCUACCUGUUCUCCCAAGCCUCACCCCUUAGUUCUUCAUGCGCACUCUUACCUCCUUCCUGACCCUCUAAAUCACACCAGCUCUUUUCCACUUGAAGCCUUUGCACACACUCCCCAAUGCAACCUGAGGGGGCGCUCUCUCUCUCAGCACAUGACUCCUGGCCUUUUCCUUCAAUCUCAGAUUGGAGUUUCUCUGUCUUCUCUGCUCAGAAAGGUCCCUUUGUGAUGUUGUCUUCCAAAGAUAUCAUUUGUACUGACUUUGUCAUCCACACUGACUGUGAGAACUUUUUUUUGUCCGUAUUCUUGCCACAAAGAGCGUUCAAAUUGUUUUUCAUCCUUGCCAGUUUAACUGAUGAUAAAUGUGGUGAUUUAAGUUGGUAUAAGGGAAGAGGCAGAGUUAUUCCAUGAGGGCCAAGGUUAAUCAUUCAUUACCUCACCUUAAGAGCCUGUUUCCUUUGUAGCACUCAUCAUUACCAGGAAUUACUGUCUUUAUUUUGCUCUUUCCUUAUUUUUCACUUGCUUUUUUUCACUUGUAAGUUAAAAAGUGGAUAAGUUCUGUGAGGCCUGGGGUGGUGUUUGCCUUUUCACAGUUAUAUUCUGGGUUCCAGGCCCAGAAACUGCAGUAUUGGAAGUGCUAUAAAAACAUUUGGAGAGUGAAAGAACGAAUGAGAAAAACAGGCUCCCUGCCCUCAGGAACACAGGUCUCAUCAAUGAAAUAGAGAAUUGCUUUGUGUUAUUGGUUCAGAAAGAGAGUGAGGAUGGAAUCAGUGGGUCUCAAAAAAUUACACUCAUGUAGGCAGGAUCAAUAUUCUAAUCCUUAACAACCAGUCAGCAAAAAUAAAGGUCAGUUGGAACAGGCAUUGGCUGUAGUGCUGGGCAGGGUGUUAACCCUCAGUUGCUGGAUUGUGGGGAGGUGGGUAGGAUUCAGAGAUGGGACUCAGGAUAGUGAUCUAUUGCCAGCCAUUGUGGAGGAAUUGUCAGUAUUUAAACAUCAAAUGCAGGCGCAUGUGUGUAUUCCUACUAAAUAUCAGCCCUGAUUAUAGAAAAAAGUCGUACCCCUUCUGGUACUGGAACCCCAUUCUCUGCCUUUAUCUGGAGGAUCCUGACAUCCUCAUACUUCACCUCCGAGUGCCCUCUGCACUCAUGACACACCCGUACGUCCUUUCUUGUACAUACUUAAUUUAGUUAUUUAUUUAUUGGCCACACCUGCAAUGUACCAAAGUUCCCCCGCAAGGGAUCAAACCCGCGCCAUAGCAGUGACCCCAAGCUACAGCAGUGACAAUGCCAGAUCCUAGACCCACUGAGCCACCAGGGAACUCCACCUUAUGCAUUCUUUAAAUAAGCAAACUCAUCACCUGUCAGACUGGCAAGGAUGAAAGAAAUUCCAAAUACUCCUUGUGGGAAAGAUGUGGACAAAAAGGCUCUUAUCACUGUUGAUGAGAAUGUCAGUAGGGGUGAUAUUUUUGGCAGCUAAGUUGGCAGUUUCUAUCAAAUUGUUAAAUGCACAUUUCUAUUGACCAAAUAAUAGAACUUCUGGGAGUUCAUCUUCCAAACUGGUACAAAUACAAAAUGAUGUAGGUACAAGUAUGUCCACUCUAGCACUAUUUUAAUAGCAAAAGUAUGGCAGCAGUUUAUAUGUCUAUUAAUAGAGGGUAGUAAAUAAAUAAUGGUACUUCCAUCUACUAGAAUGAUGUGGCUUUUAAAAAGUGUUAGGGUAGAUAUCUAAAAUCAAAUUCAUAGAGAUAGGAGGUAGAUUGGUGAUUACGUGGAGCUAGGGUGAGGGAAAGAUGGGAAGUGAAUGAUUCACGGGUCCUGUUUGGAGUGAUGAAAAGGUAGUGGUGAUUAUCACACAACGGUGUGAAUGUCAUUAAUGCCACUGAAUUGUACACUUAAAACUGAUUGAAAUGGCAGGUUUUAUGCCAUAGAUAUUGUGCCACAAUUUUAAAAAACUUUAAAGAAGGAGCAAAUGAACAGACAAAAAAUAAAAAGAGGAAAACACAUGCAUGCAUGCGUGCCCACGCACACCAUCUAGUCUGGAAAGACGUGUUCGGAUUGUUGAGGGUGGUUAUGUCUAACAGAUGGAAUUCAAGGAAGAACAGAAGAAAAUUUUGUCCUGUGUACUGUUCUAUUUUUGGCAUUUUUCACAGUAAGCAUCUAUUUUGUAAUUUCUUUAAUUGAAGGGUUUUUUAAAAGUCGACCCGACCUGUGGUAAAACCUUGGAGUUGGUACAAUUUUCUAGCUUAUAUAACUGAAACAAUCCUAAAGGUCUGUUUGCAGUUGAACUUGCUUGCAUCUAAUAUCCUUGUGCAAUAUUUAACCUAGGGUGAGAGUUUAAUUAUGGUUUAAAACACGGAAUGGUUUUCCUUCCCGAGAUUAAAUUACAUCUUGUAGAAAAACAGGCUCUCAAAUUUAGAAAGAAUUUGGUCUUCUGUUCCCUCAAUGAGGACUGACUCUUCUAUCUAGUAAUUUACUGUAAAGCAAGAUGCUUCUAUUUGUAGUUUUACAUCCCUUUCUUUGAUAUUUAAGGCAUGUUGGC